rnacentral:rRNA from 1 species
UACAGAGACCCCGAGCAUUAUCCGGAUUUAUUGGGCGUAAAGAGUUCGUAGGCGGCUUUGUAAGUCAUCUGUUAAAUCUUCAGGCUCAACCUGGAGGCUGCGGGUGAUACUGUAAGGCUCGAGUGUGGGAGAGGCAAAUGGAAUGCCCGGUGUAGCAGUAAAAUGCGUUAAUAUCGGGUAGAACACCAAAGGCGAAAGCAAUUUGCUAGAACACAACUGACGCUUAAGAGCGAAAGCGUGGGUAGCGAAAGGG